rnacentral:rRNA from 1 species
GACCAUGGCUCAGGAUGAACGCUAGCUACAGGCUUAACACGUGCAAGUCGAGGGGCAUCAGUUUGGUUUGCUUGCAACCAAAGCUGGCGACCGGCGCACGGGUGAGUAACACGUAUCCAACCUGCCUCAUACUCGGGGAUAGCCUUUCGAAAGAAAGAUUAAUAUCCGAUAGCAUAUAUUUCCCGCAUGGGGUUUUUAUAUUUAAAGAAAUUCGGUAUGAGAUGGGGAUGCGUUCCAUUAGUUUGUUGGG